UAGGGAAUCUUCGGCAAUGGGGGGAACCCUGACCGAGCAACGCCGCGUGAGUGAAGAAGGUUUUCGGAUCGUAAAGCUCUGUUGUUAAGGAAGAACUAGUGUGAGAAUGGAAAGUUCAUGCUGUGACGGUACUUAACCAGAAAGGGACGGCUAACUACGUGCCAGCAGCCGCGGUAAUACGUAGGUCCCGAGCGUUGUCCGGAUUUAUUGGGCGUAAAGCGAGCGCAGGCGGUUAGAAAAGUCUGAAGUGAAAGGCAGUGGCUCAACCAUUGUAGGCUUUGGAAACUGUUUAACUUGGGUGCAGAAGGGGAGAGUGGAAUUCCAUGUGUAGCGGUGAAAUGCGUAGAUAUGUGGAGGAACAACGGUGGCGAAAGCGGCUCUCUGGUCUGUAACUGACGCUGAGGCUCGAAAGCGUGGGGGGCGAACAGG
rnacentral:rRNA from 1 species